ACUUGAAGCUUUAUCGUUUAACCAGCAUUCGUCUGUAGUUCUUUCUUGUUCGGUUGCAGUUCGUUUUAUCGAGAUUUUUCCUAAAUUGAUUCUUAACUACUUCAGAUCGUAUCUAUUGAUUCAUUUUUGUAGCAAUAACGAACUGGUGACUACGCAGCAUAACAAAGCUUUUGAGACAAAAUGGAAAAUAAUAAUCAACAACUAUCUGAGGUUGGUGCUUCAUCAAUUGGGGCAAGAGAAGAAAGACCAUCAACAAGCAAUAGAUCAGAAAAUCCACAGGCUGAAAAUGUUAUCCCAGCGCCUUCUGAGUUGGGCAAUAUCAAUGUCACCGUAAGAAGUACUUACAGAUCGGGGGAUAGCCACCUGUCAGCUUUUCCGAUUAUUCGUUAUCGUAUACACAUAUACUUUUGAUUGUUACAGAUUCCGGAAACACCAACAAGAACUCAAAAACCGGAUGAAUUUAAAGAAGAAAUAUAAUUUUGCAGUAAUUGUUUUGAUGUAGAUUCCUCUUUUAAUAAA